rnacentral:rRNA from 1 species
UACGUAGGGUGCGAGCGUUAAUCGGAAUUACUGGGCGUAAAGCGUGCGCAGGCGGUUUGCCAAGUCAGAUGUGAAAGCCCCGGGCUCAACCUGGGAAUGGCAUUUGUGACUGGCAGGCUAGAGUGUGUCAGAGGGGGGUAGAAUUCCACGUGUAGCAGUGAAAUGCGUAGAGAUGUGGAGGAAUACCGAUGGCGAAGGCAGCCCCCUGGGAUAACACUGACGCUCAUGCACGAAAGCGUGGGGAGCAAACAGG